rnacentral:rRNA from 1 species
GUAAUGGCUCACCAAGGCAUCGACGGGUAGCUAGUCUGAGAGGACGAAUAGCCACACUGGGACUGAGACACGGCCCAGACUCCUACGGGAGGCAGCAGUGGGGAAUCUUGCACAAUGGGCGAGAGCCUGAUGCAGCGACGCCGCGUGAGGGAUGAAGGCCCUAGGGUCGUAAACCUCUUUCAGUAGGGACGAAAUUGACGGUACCUGCAGAAGAAGCUCCGGCCAACUACGUGCCAGCAGCCGCGGUAAGACGUAGGGGGCGAGCGUUGUCCGGAUUUAUUGGGCGUAAAGGGCUCGUAGGUGGUUGCGUAAGUCGGAUGUGAAAACUCAGGGCUUAACCCUGAGAUGCCAUCCGAUACUGCGCUGACUUGAGUCCGGUAGAGGAGUGUAGAAUUCCUAGUGUAGCGGUGAAAUGCGCAGAUAUUAGGAGGAACACCAAUUGCGAAGGCAGCACUCUGGGCCGGUACUGACACUGAGGAGCGAAAGCGUGGGUAGCAAACAGGAUUAGAUACCCUGGUAGUCCACGCCGUAAACGGUGGGCACUAGGUGUGGG